rnacentral:rRNA from 1 species
CCUACGGGAGGCUGCAGUGGGGAAUAUUGGACAAUGGGGGGAACCCUGAUCCAGCCAUGCCGCGUGUGUGAAGAAGGCCCUCGGGUUGUAAAGCACUUUCAGUGAGGAAGAACGCCUGGUGGUUAAUACCCAUCAGGAAAAACAUCACUCACAGAAGAAGCACCGGCUAACUCCGUGCCAGCAGCCGCGGUAAUACGGAGGGUGCGAGCGUUAAUCGGAAUUACUGGGCGUAAAGCGCGCGUAGGUGGCUUGAUAAGCCGGUUGUGAAAGCCCCGGGCUCAACCUGGGAACGGCAUCCGGAACUGUCAAGCUAGAGUGCAGGAGAGGAAGGUAGAAUUCCCGGUGUAGCGGUGAAAUGCGUAGAGAUCGGGAGGAAUACCAGUGGCGAAGGCGGCCUUCUGGACUGACACUGACACUGAGGUGCGAAAGCGUGGGUAGCAAACAGGAUUAGAUACCCCAGUAGUC